CCUACGGGGGGCAGCAGUGAGGAAUAUUGGUCAAUGGACGAGAGUCUGAACCAGCCAAGUAGCGUGAAGGAUGACUGCCCUAUGGGUUGUAAACUUCUUUUAUAUGGGAAUAAAAUGUUCCACGUGUGGGAUUUUGUAUGUCCCAUAUGAAUAAGGAUCGGCUAACUCCGUGCCAGCAGCCGCGGUAAUACGGAGGAUCCGAGCGUUAUCCGGAUUUAUUGGGUUUAAAGGGAGCGUAGGUGGAUUGUUAAGUCAGUUGUGAAAGUUUGCGGCUCAACCGUAAAAUUGCAGUUGAAACUGGCAGUCUUGAGUACAGUAGAGGUGGGCGGAAUUCGUGGUGUAGCGGUGAAAUGCUUAGAUAUCACGAAGAACUCCGAUUGCGAAGGCAGUUCACUGGACUGCAACUGACACUGAGGCUCGAAAGUGUGGGUAUCAAACAGGAUUAGAUACCCGGGUAGUC
rnacentral:rRNA from 1 species